AUAAAUACACAUUUAAAAAUAAAAAUAAAUAAAGAUAAAAAUUUAAAUAUGUGUAGUACCUUAAAAUGUAAAACAGAGAGAUUUGCAUCUCUGAAGAAACAUCAUUGGAAAAAAAUACUUUCUAGACUUUCUAAUGUACUCAGGUCGCAGAGAAAAGAUACGCAGUGAGAAUCUUUGCAGCUGUAGAAGAAAAAUGAGACAAUAGCUUUUCAUGUCUACUUGUUUAUUGCAAUUAUAUAUUACAAUAUUGGAAAUUUGGAGCUCUUGGUAGAAGCAAGAUAAAGAUGACAGGGUUUUUUUUUUUUUUUAUAAGCCUAUCACACAAAUAUAUGGUUUAUUCUGAAAGAAAAGUCUUAAUAUCUGAAAAAAUAAUUUUUUUUCUACAGGGGUAGAAUGAGAACUGUGAUAAUCUGGUAUAUCCAUUAAUGAAUGUCUGAGUGGAAUGGAGACAGAGAUAAUUACAGCAGGAAGUGGACACCAUUAUACUAGGCAUGUGUCAGGCUACAAGAGCCCUGCCAUACUGAAACUUACAAACUAGGUGUGAUAUCAUUUUGAAUUCACACCAAAUAUUAAAUAAUAAUCAAAUUUAUGAGAUGUCAUAAAGCAGUAUAGGAUUUUACAAAAAGAGAUAAUGUAAAUGCUUUGAGUUUAAAGGACAAAGAAAGUUCAUGAAAGAGAAGUAGUUUGAGUUAUACCCCAACUCAUUUGACAGAUUAAAUAAUUUUUAGAUCAAACCCUUGGUAUUAUCCCCAAUUCUCUUUUCUUUUAGUGAAUAACUGUGUAACAAAUCUUAUUACACACUGUCUUAGUGUCCUGCCAAGUAAUUUGUACUCUAUUAAGAGUUCCUUGUGCUUGCUUUCUAUUUAAAAUAACUGGAUAGGAAUCCUGAUUCCAUGCUAGGAAAUACCUACUCAUUUUUUUCUUUCUUUACAUUCUUUCUUUUAUUAGUUCUUAUUCUAAUCAUCCUCUGAAUUUUCUUACAAAAUGAUGCUACUUAGGAAUGAAGACUUGGUGUUUUUAACUGGUCUGGAAGAGCUGAUUAUUUAAUCAUAUUACAUAAUUUUGGAAAAUAAAGAUAGAAACAGUCAGAGUCAUAUACUAAGGAGAAUGCAGCCUCUGAAGGAUUAUAGAGACAUGGAAGUUGCAAGAGGUCUGACAACCAUUCCAAAGCCAGGAAAUUGUUCUCUGCACUCAGGGCCCCAUCUGCCACAGAGAGUCUUCUGCACGGAUGAAUUAUAGGAUUCCGGAUGUUAGCAGAAGAGAAUGCAAGAGGAGGGGAAUAAUGGUGCCUUCCUGGGAGGGGGCAGCAUAAUUUGAAAUAGAGGUUUGGAUACAUGCACUGCUUAUCAAAUCAGAGAGGUUACGCAAAUACACACAAAUACCCACCUUUUAGGCAUGUUUCUGAUCUCCAAGAGCUAUGGACAGUUUUGGGGAAAAGCAGCACCUGGGCUGCUUUGUCGUACUUUCCACUUAGACCUCCUUUCAUCUUGGUUUGCCUGCCCUCGUUACCUUCCUCAUUUUGAGAUACCACUUGUUUGCCCAUCAUGCCAUCUUCAUUCUGAUCCAUUCACUGGGACAACCCAAGACAGCUCUAGAUUGUGUGGCAUAUUGAGGUAUUCCUGGUGCAUACCUAAGCAGAUAUUAUGUGGAAAAAAAGUAUGUUGUAGUCUGAUUUAUGCCUGUUGUCUGGGCACUUAUGAGGAGGGCAGGUUCUGGACAUGUUUUCUGUGCUUCCACGUCAAUAUAAAUGCAGCAGUGUGCCAUCUGGGACUAUGCUUUCUGUAUUUCAUCACGGAGACAAUUCUCCAAAGAGAAGCAGCAACAGGAAAACACAGAUACUAAUUACUCAACAAUAAGCCUCUGUUUUACAUAAACAGCCAAGUUGUAGAAAUAAUAAGCUAUCACUGUAGAAUUUCAUAUGACCAUACAUAAGCAAAAAAGAGUUCUUUUUAUAGUUGCUGAUAUUAUUGCUUUCCAUCCUAAUUACCUCAGGCAUCCAUGUUUCCAGGAGAAUGCAACACAUAGAAACAUUCCACUUUAAACAAACACUACAUAAAUUUCUCCAAGCACAAAAACAAAGAUGCAUAUUGACCUCAGGCACGAAAGUGAGCGAAUUAUUCUCUGCCAUCACAUAACUUGAAUGUGGUGAAACAGGUUUUAUUUAUUGUAUUGCUUUGAAAAAAAAGAAUCAUUCUGCUCCAACAUGGAAAAGAUUGUGUAGUUAGGAUAUUUCUAAGAGUUUAGAUUCUAUUAAAAAUCUAUUUUAACACUCUGUCCCACCACAAUACUCAGUACUUUAAAGGGAUUCUUUAUUGUAUUAUGAAAAGCACAUGAAAUUUUGCAUUAAAAUUGCAAAGAUUAGCAGUGGUUGCAAUGUAGGUGUGAAUCUUAUGUACAUGUUUUUAAAAAGAGGGUGGAUAUGAAGGUUUAUGAAAGCCAUUUUGGCCAUCAUAUUGAGGAAGUUAAGAAAGAAAACAAAAGCAGGGAUAAGAACUGGCCAGAAAGAAAAAUCAACACUUCUAGGCAAUAAUGAUGCAAUCCUCAGGUCCAGUCAUCCUGAAACCAGGUCCUUUCUUAACUUUCUUCUUAUGUGAGUUAAGACAUUAUAACUUUUGCACAGGCUAAAAUGCUUUAGGUUUUGUCAGUUGCCUAAUACAAACUGGAGCCGUAUCUGUGAUUGGAGCUGUGAAUAAAAACUGAAUGAAUAUCA